AUACGUAGGUGGCAAGCGUUAUCCGGAUUUACUGGGUGUAAAGGGCGUGUAGGCGGUUUAGCAAGUCAGAAGUGAAAUUCCCGGGCUUAACUUGGGCGCUGCUUCUGAAACUGCUUUACUUGAGUGCUGGAGAGGAUAGUGGAAUUCCUAGUGUAGCGGUAAAAUGCGCAGAUAUUAGGAGGAACACCGGUGGCGAAGGCGGCUAACUGGACAGUAACUGACGCUGAGGCGCGAAAGCACGGGGAGCAAACAGGAUUGGAUACCCUAGUAGUCCGUGCCGUAAACGAUGAAUACUAGGUGUAGGGGGUAUCGACUCCCUCUGUGCCGCAGUUAACACAUUAAGGAUUCCACCUGGGGAGUACGGCCGCAAGGUUGAAACUCAAAGGAAUUGACGGGG
rnacentral:rRNA from 1 species